GUGGCUGCAGGAGAUGGAGGAGCUCCUGAAUCGGAUAACCGAGUGGCUGUAGCGGUGUGAGGAGCUCCUGGAUUAGGCCCAGCAGCUAGUUCCUUCUUCACCCACAGGGGUGGAUCCUUUAUGAAGAACCAGGUACCACAACCAGCUGCACCAAUCAAUGUGGCAAGAGCUGAUGAGGAUGACUGAGCAUAGAUUUUUUUUUGUUUUUUCAUUUUACAUUGAUUUUGUAAAAGCCUUCAACUAAGGGUUGAGUCUGCCCACUUUCAAUAAAUGGCUUUUUUCUGCCAGAUGUUUUCUGGUUUCGAGUAUUAUGUGUGUGUGUGUGUGUGUGUGU